GAUGAACGCUGGCGGUAUGCCUUUCACAUGCAAGUCGUACGAGAGUUUUUAACUCAAGUGGCGGACGGGUGAGUAACGCGUGAGAAUCUGCCCUCAGGAGGGGGAUAACGGUUGGAAACGGCCGCUAAUACCCCAUAUGCCGCGAGGUGAAAUGAAUUUCGCCUGAGGAUGAGCUCGCGUCUGAUUAGCUAGUUGGUGUAGGUAAUGGCUCACCAAGGCAUCGAUCAGUAGCUGGUCUGAGAGGAUGAUCAGCCACACUGGGACUGAGACACGGCCCAGACUCCUACGGGAGGCAGCAGUGGGGAAUUUUCCGCAAUGGGCGAAAGCCUGACGGAGCAACGCCGCGUGAGGGAUGAAGGCCUCUGGGCUGUAAACCUCUUUUAUCAAGGAAGAAGAUCUGACGGUACUUGAUGAAUAAGCCACGGCUAAUUCCGUG
rnacentral:rRNA from 1 species